CCGGAUGCGGAUCUCGAAAGCCUGUCCCAGUUCGGACUGGAGUCUGCAACCCGACUCCACGAAGUUGGAUUCGCUAGUAAUCGCGCAUCAGCCAUGGCGCGGUGAAUACGUUCCCGGGCCUUGUACACACCGCCCGUCAAGCCAUGGGAGCCGGGGGCGCCUGAAGUCCGGGACCGCGAGGACCGGCCUAGGGCGAAACUGGUAACUGGGCUAAGUCGUAACAAGGUAAC
rnacentral:rRNA from 1 species